CCUACGGGGGGCAGCAGUGGGGAAUAUUGGACAAUGGGGGGAACCCUGAUCCAGCCAUGCCGCGUGUGUGAAGAAGGCCCUCGGGUUGUAAAGCACUUUCAGUGAGGAAGAACGCCUGGUGGUUAAUACACAUCAGGAAAGACAUCACUCACAGAAGAAGCACCGGCUAACUCCGUGCCAGCAGCCGCGGUAAUACGGAGGGUGCGAGCGUUAAUCGGAAUUACUGGGCGUAAAGCGCGCGUAGGUGGCUUGAUAAGCCGGUUGUGAAAGCCCCGGGCUCAACCUGGGAACGGCAUCCGGAACUGUCAAGCUAGAGUGCAGGAGAGGAAGGUAGAAUUCCCGGUGUAGCGGUGAAAUGCGUAGAGAUCGGGAGGAAUACCAGUGGCGAAGGCGGCCUUCUGGACUGACACUGACACUGAGGUGCGAAAGCGUGGGUAGCAAACAGGAUUAGAUACCCUAGUAGUC
rnacentral:rRNA from 1 species